rnacentral:sRNA from 1 species
AAAGAAGAAGAAAAAAC